rnacentral:rRNA from 1 species
AUGAACGCUUUCGUGCGUAAUAACUGUGGAAGCAGGAUACUUACAACUACUCGUAUACUCGAAGUUGCCACAACGACCGGUGAAGUAUACGAGUUAAAACCACUUUCUCAUGAUUUAUCCAAUGAUUUAUUUCAUAGAAGAGUAUCUAUUGGCAAAAUAAAACGGCCUAAUCAUCUGCCAGUAGAGGUAUACAAUAAAAUUUUACGUAAAUGUGGAGGUGUACCAUUGGCUAUAAUCACAAUAGCUAGUUUGCUUGUCAGUAAACCUGUGGAGCUUUGGUCUAAGGUAUACACUUCAAUUGGUUUUGGGCAUGAAGAAAACAAAGACGUGGAGAACACGAGAAAAAUACUUUUAUUUAGCUAUUAUGAUCUACCUUGUCACCUAAAGACAUGCUUAUUGUAUCUGAGCAUAUAUCCUGAAGAUCAUCUGAUUGAAAAAGAUAGUUUGAUAUGGAAGUGGGUCGCCGAAGGUUUUAUCCGCGAGGAACCAGGGGUAGGACUAUUCGAGAUUGGUGAGAGGUACUUCAACAUGUUGGUAAAUAAAAGCAUGAUAAUGCCGGUAGAGGAGCCCCUGUAUUAUGGCAUGGAAAUGCAUGUUGGCACCAUAACUGGAUGCCGCGUGCAUGACAUGAUGUUGGAUAUGAUAUGCCUAUUGUCAAAGGAAGAAAACUUUGUUACUAUAUUGGAUAGCAACGAACAAUAUAAAACUUCACAUUACAAUGCUCAUAGGCUAGCUGUUCAUCGUAGUGUCCAACCUCUGGCUAGCACAUCAACAUUACAAGCAAGGUCACUUAAUGCCAUGUGCUAUGCUGAGAUGUUGCCAUCACUUUCAUGCUUUGAAGUUUUGCGUGUCCUAGCUUUGGAAGGCCCCUCUAGUUUGCACAAUCCUAAUCAUCUUGAGCAUGUUGGAAAGUUACUUCACUUGAGGCACCUCAAACUAGGCUGCAUUGGUAUCAGUGAGCUCCCAAAGGAAAUAGGGCAUCUGAAGUUCUUGAUGGUAUUGGACUUGGGUCUAAAUAGCAUAAGCGAACUUCCAGAGAGUAUUGGUCAACUAAGUCAACUGAAGUGCUUGAACAUCUGCAAAACAGGCAUUGCAGUGCCAUGCUGGAUCGGGAAUUUGACAUCUCUGGAAGAGCUAUGCCUUAGAGAAGUUGGUGAGGACUCCAACUUUGUGACAGAGCUGGGCAAGUUGACAGAGUUGAGGAAGCUCCGCAUUUCUAGAAGUGUAUAUUUAUAUGGUGAUGGUAGCAGAAUGAGUAGUUGGGCCGAGUCUGUAGCCAAACUCAGCAAGAUCCAAGUCAUAGACAUUGAUUCAGUUGAUGGGUGGAGAGAUUCCAGUCAUGAAGAGAGCCCCCCGCGGCUCAAAAAAUAUGAAGAGAACCCCUGGAACAGUAUGCCCUCUCUCCACAACUCCGUGUUCUACGCAUGUCCUACGGAGAACCUGGGCUGGUGGCAAGGAUCAAUCCCCAGCUUCUUCCGAACCUCUCCCAUUUAA